GAGGAUGAGUUCGCGUCCCAUUAGCUAGUUGGCGGGGUAACGGCCCACCAAGGCAGAGAUGGGUAGCUGGUCUGAGAGGAUGAUCAGCCACACUGGGACUGAGACACUGCCCAGACUCCUACGGGAGGCUGCAGUCGAGAAUCUUUUGCAAUGCGCGAAAGCGUGACAAAGCAAUGCCGCGUGCCGGAUGAAGGUCUUCGGAUUGUAAACGGCUGUCACUCGGGACGAAAAAUGACGGUACCGAGGGAGGAAGCCACGGCUAACUACGUGCCAGCAGCCGCGGUAAUACGUAGGUGGCGAGCGUUGUUCGGAUUUAUUGGGCGUAAAGGGUUCGUAGGUGGUUUGCUAAGUCUGACGUGAAAUCCCGUGGCUCGACCACGGAACUGCGUUGGAGACUGGUGAACUUGAGUAUUGGAGAGGUAAGCGGAAUACCAGGUGUAGCGGUGGAAUGCGUAGAUAUCUGGUAGAACACCGAUAGCGAAGGCAGCUUACUGGACAAUAACUGACACUGAGGAACGAAAGCGUGGGGAGCAAACAGGAUUAGAUACCCUGGUAGUCCACGCCGUAAACGUUGUCAACUUGAUGUGGGAGGAUUUAGUCCCUUCCGUAUCGAAGCUAACGCGAUAAGUGACCGC
rnacentral:rRNA from 1 species